GACGAACGCUGGCGGCGUGCUUAACACAUGCAAGUCGCACGAUGAAGCUGGAGCUUGCUCCGGUGGAUUAGUGGCGAACGGGUGAGUAACACGUGAGCAAUCUGCCCUUGACUCUGGGAUAACUGCGGGAAACUGUAGCUAAUACCGGAUACUUUCACUGGAAGGCAGCUUCUGGUGAAGAAAGAAUUUCGGUCAAGGAUGAGCUCGCGGCCUAUCAGCUUGUUGGUGGGGUACCGGCUCACCAAGGCGACGACGAGUGGCCGGCCUGGGAGGGUGACCGGCCACACUGGGACUGAGAUGCGGCCCAGACUCCUACAGGAGGCAGCAGUGGGUAAUAUUGCACAAUGGGCGCAAGCCUGAUGCAGCAACGCCGCGUGAGGGAUGAAGGCCUUCGGGUUGUAAACCUCUUUUAGCAGGGAAGAAGCGAAAGUGACGGUACCUGCAGAAAAAGCACCGGCUAACUACGCGCCAGCCGCCGCCGUAA
rnacentral:rRNA from 1 species